rnacentral:lncRNA from 10 species
GCUAAGUUGUGCGUUCCAGGGUGCACUCGCCGGCGAGGCUGCACGGCGCCGGUUUCAUUGCUAAAAUCCGACGGACUUGUUGCAGAACUCGUUUUUUUUGUCGGGAAAGGGCUUCCCCGUGUAACUUUACAGCAGUUAUCGUAGAUAAGACUUGCAAAUUACAGAUGUGGACGGUGAGGGAACGGGAAUUUCACUGAAAGCGCCUGAGAACCAGUAAGAGACCUGCAACAGCUUUGUGCUCCACUGGCGAAUGCUUCCUCCCCUAAUACACAUUAUGUGUGCUUGGAGACACAAGGAGUAAGAUACAGCCCCUCAAGGGACUCGUCAUAGGGAGAGGACACAGCUUUGGGAAUAAAGGGGCCACAAAGGAGGAGAGAGGAGUUUGCUGAAACUUCCCAAGCUCCCAUUCCAGCAGUUCCUGAAGGGUUUCCCCUCUCUUCUAGGCUGGACAAUGGAGGAGGCUUGAAACAGUAGCUGGCAAGUGGUAGAAGAGAUGGAGCAGAGAAGCAAGAAGAAGCAGACUCCUCACUCCUUCACCAGGGUGGAUUUGCUGGUUUGAAGCAGACCUGAGUUGGGAGAGGAGAGAGGCGAGAAGUUUUAAUUGGAUGAAAUAUUUCUUUAGACUGGUCUAUACUUUUUUCUUUAUAUCUAAAAUUCACUGGAAGAGCUAUGAAAUCUGUCCAAGAUUUCGUUCAGUUCAGGAAAAACCAAAACCAAAACCAUAACCACCAGGUAAUACACAUGUGACUCAGAU